AUGGCUCAGAACGAACGCUGGCGGCGCGUUUAAGCAUGCAAGUCGAGCGGCAAGGGCCUUCGGGCCCCUAGAGCGGCGGACGGGUGAGUAACACGUGGACAAUCUGCCCCCCGGCCCGGGAUAGCCCAGGGAAACCUGGAUUAAUACCGGAUGAGACGGGACCCGCGAUGGCGGGACCCGGGAAGGCGCUGCGGCGCCGCCGGGGGAUGAGUCUGCGUCCCAUUAGCUAGACGGCGGGGUAACGGCCCACCGUGGCGACGAUGGGUAGCCGGCCUGAGAGGGUGGACGGCCACAUUGGAACUGAGACACGGUCCAGACUCCUACGGGAGGCAGCAGCUAAGAAUCUUCCGCAAUGGGCGAAAGCCUGACGGAGCGACGCCCGCGUGAACGAAGAAGGCCGUGAGGUUGUAAAGUUCUUUUCGGGAGGGGGAACAACCGUGGCAGGGAAUGGCCGCGGGAUGACGUGAAUCCCGGAAUAAGCCCCGGCUAACUACGUGCCAGCAGCCGC
rnacentral:rRNA from 1 species